rnacentral:lncRNA from 1 species
GCUACUUCGGAUGGAGAAAUAUAGGGUGGAGGAGGCCAAGAAUGAUGGUCUUUGAUCCGAUCUUGCUAAUGCUUCCUUCUUUAGUACACCUCCCUCUUCAUCUUCGAUUUUCUUACUGAUGCUCGAAUUCUAUUGGUAGCGAUAUCAAUUCUCUCUUGAAAUAUCUAUAGACUUGGUGAUCCAUCUAAAAGAUGGACCAUCAAAGAUACCAUCUCCUCCUUAGGUGUUGUGCUGUUGGAUUGCAAAAGUCCAAGUUGGACUCAGUGAACCGAGCUACCCUUAGAUCCUUGUAUGGUGGGCAUAUUGAUUCUUGGUUCAGCCUUAAGGCUUUGGAUCUUCAGGUGGAAUCCUUUUGGGUUGGGAUUCUAGUAGAGUCACUCCCAUCAGAAAAGUUCUCUCCUUCUCCAUUAUUGUACUCUGGGAGGAUUCUCUCCUUAAUCGCCAUUAGUCCUUGACAAUGGUUUAUUGGCCCUUUGACCAUGACCUAAAACCUCAAUUCUAGGAUGAGCUCAGGCAAGUCAAACUGAUGUUUA